rnacentral:tRNA from 1 species
GCCCCGGUAGCUCAGUUGGUCAGAGCGUUCGGCUUUUAACCGAAAUGUCGUGGGUUCGAGCCCCACUCGGGGCG